rnacentral:rRNA from 1 species
UUUGGGCGUGUCUCCCUUCUCGGGAGACUCUCUCAACCCCCACGAACCCUUGACCUCAAAUCGGGUGAGACUACCCGCUGAACUUAAGCAUAUCAAUAAGCGGAGGAAAAGAAACUAACAAGGAUUCCCCUAGUAACUGCGAGUGAAGCGGGAAAAGCUCAAAUUUAAAAUCUGGCGGUCUCUGGCCGUCCGAGU